UACGUAGGGACCGAGCGUUGUCCGGAAUCAUUGGGCGUAAAGAGCGUGUAGGCGGCCACUUAAGUCCUGCGUGAAAUCUUGCGGCUCAACCGCAAGCGGUCGUGGGAAACUGGGUGGCUAGAGUGCGGGGAGAGGAGAGUGGGAAUUCCUGGUGUAGCGGUGGAAUGCGCAGAUAUCAGGAAGAACACCCGUGGCGAAGGCGGCUCUCUGGCAACGCGACUGACGCUGAGACGCGAAAGCGUGGGGGAGCAAACAGG
rnacentral:rRNA from 1 species